rnacentral:rRNA from 1 species
GAUAAGCGUUGGAAACGACGUCUAAUACCGGAUAUGACAACUCAUCGCAUGGUGUGGUUGUGGAAAGAUUUUUUGGUCUGGGAUGGACUCGCGGCCUAUCAGGUUGUUGGUGAGGUAAUGGCUCACCAAGCCUACGACGGGUAGCCGGCCUGAGAGGGUGACCGGCCACACUGGGACUGAGACACGGCCCAGACUCCUACGGGAGGCAGCAGUGGGGAAUAUUGCACAAUGGGCGAAAGCCUGAUGCAGCAACGCCGCGUGAGGGAUGACGGCCUUCGGGUUGUAAACCUCUUUUAGUAAGGAAGAAGAACUUCGGUUUGACGGUACUUGCAGAAAAAGCACCGGCUAACUACGUGCCAGCAGCCGCGGUAAUACGUAGGGUGCAAGCGUUGUCCGGAAUUAUUGGGCGUAAAGAGCUCGUAGGCGGUUUGUCGCGUCUGCUGUGAAAACUGGAGGCUCAACCUCCAGCCUGCAGUGGGUACGGGCAGACUAGAGUGCGGUAGGGGAGAUUGGAAUUCCUGGUGUAGCGGUGGAAUGCGCAGAUAUCAGGAGGAACACCGAUGGCGAAGGCAGAUCUCUGGGCCGUAACUGACGCUGAGGAGCGAAAGCAUGGGGAGCGAACAGGAUUAGAUACCCUGGUAGUCCAUGCCGUAAACGUUGGGAACUAGAUG